GACGAACGCUGGCGGCGUGCUUAACACAUGCAAGUCGAACGGAAAGGCCCUGCUUUUGUGGGGUGCUCGAGUGGCGAACGGGUGAGUAACACGUGAGUAACCUGCCCUUGACUUUGGGAUAACUUCAGGAAACUGGGGCUAAUACCGGAUAGGAGCUCCUGCUGCAUGGUGGGGGUUGGAAAGUUUCGGCGGUUGGGGAUGGACUCGCGGCUUAUCAGCUUGUUGGUGGGGUAGUGGCUUACCAAGGCUUUGACGGGUAGCCGGCCUGAGAGGGUGACCGGCCACAUUAGGACUGAGAUACGGCCCAGACUCCUACGGGAGGCAGCAGUGGGGAAUAUUGCACAAUGGGCGGAAGCCUGAUGCAGCAACGCCGCGUGCGGGAUGACGGCCUUCGGGUUGUAACCCGCUUUCGCCUGUGACGAAGCGUGAGUGACGGUAAUGGGUAAAGAAGCACCGGCUAACUACGUG
rnacentral:rRNA from 1 species